AACGAACGCUGGCGGCAUGCCUAACACAUGCAAGUCGAACGAGAUCUUCGGGUCUAGUGGCGCACGGGUGCGUAACGCGUGGGAAUCUGCCCUUUGGUUCGGAAUAACAGUUGGAAACGACUGCUAAUACCGGAUGAUGACGAAAGUCCAAAGAUUUAUCGCCAGAGGAUGAGCCCGCGUAGGAUUAGCUAGUUGGUGUGGUAAAGGCGCACCAAGGCGACGAUCCUUAGCUGGUCUGAGAGGAUGAUCAGCCACACUGGGACUGAGACACGGCCCAGACUCCUACGGGAGGCAGCAGUGGGGAAUAUUGGACAAUGGGCGAAAGCCUGAUCCAGCAAUGCAGCGUGAGUGAUGAAGGCCUUAGGGUUGUAAAGCUCUGUUACCCGGGAUGAUAAUGACAGUACCGGGAGAAGAAGCACCGGCUAACUACGUGCCAGCAGCCGCGGUAA
rnacentral:rRNA from 1 species